rnacentral:rRNA from 1 species
UGAGGAAUCUUCCGCAAUGGGCGCAAGCCUGACGGAGCAACGCCGCGUGGAGGAUGACGGCCUUCGGGUUGUAAACUCCUUUUCUAUGGGACGAGGUAUACGGACGGUACCAUAGGAAGAAGUCUCGGCUAACUACGUGCCAGCAGCCGCGGUAAUACGUAGGAGACGAGCGUUGUCCGGAGUUACUGGGCGUAAAGGGUGCGCAGGCGGCUUCGCGCGUGUGCGGUGAAAUCUCCUGGCUCAACUGGGAGGGUGCCGUGCAGACGGCGGAGCUUGAGGGUCGGAGAGGGGCGUGGAAUUCCGGGUGGAGCGGUGAAAUGCGUAGAGAUCCGGAGGAACACCGACGGCGAAGGCAGCGCCCUGGCCGACAUCUGACGCUCAGGCACGAAAGCUGGGGGAGCAAACAGGAUUAGAUACCCCUGUAGUCC